AACGAACGCUGGCGGCGUGCCUAACACAUGCAAGUCGAACGAGCAGACCGGGACUUUUGGCGCACGGCUUCGUAAGCGGUCGGAAGCUGCCCUUGGGGUCGACAUACCUACCCGACAGGGGUGCUAAUGCCGGAUCAUGUCUUAUGCCCAAAGAUUUAUCGAAUUUGGAUGUGCCCGCGUUGGAUUCGAUUGUUGGUAGGGUAAAAGCCUACCAAGGCCCCGAUCCAUAGCUGGGUAGAGAGGCAGCUCAGCAACACUGGGAGGGAGACCCGGCCCAGACUCCUACGGGAGGGAGCAGUGGGUAACAGUGGAAAAUGGGCGGAAGGAUGAUCGAGCUAGGCCGGGUGAGUGAUGAAGGCCUGAGGGUUGUAAAGCGCUUUUACCCGUGAAGAUAUUGACAGUACCGGGAGAAUAAGCCCCGGCUAACUCCGUG
rnacentral:rRNA from 1 species